rnacentral:rRNA from 1 species
CCUAUGCGGGGCAGCAGUGUGGAAUAUUWUACACAGGGGGCAAGCGCGUUAUAGCCAUGCGGCGUGUGUGAUGAAGGCGCUAGGGUGGUAAAGCACUUUCGCCUGUGAAGAUAAUGACUGUGGCACAUAAAGAAACCCCCGGGUAAUCCGUGCCAGCGCAGCCGGUAUUAUGGAGGGGGUGAGCGUUGUUUUGAAUUAUUGGGSGUAAAGCGCGCAUAGGCGGGGUGKAAACUGUCGGGGGAAAUAGCCGGGGUCUACCCCCGAAAAGCGUCUAAAACUCCCAGGGAAUAGAUAGUGAGAGAGGAGUGGAAUUUUCACAGUAGAGAGGAAAAAUUUAUAUAUUUGGAGGAACACACCAGAGGAAGGCGGCUCCACGGCUCGAUAAUGACACGGAGGUGUGAAAAAGUGGGGAGCAAACAGGAUUUUAUACCCCGGUGGUGCACACSCUAUAAGAUAAAAGUCAGUGGUGUGGGGAGCUUGUUUUCGGGACGCCAGUUAACGCAUUAAGCAUUCCGC